AUUGAGCUACGUAUCACUGUAGUGUAUAAAUUCGUAUCAGUCAAUUAGAAUGAAAAUAAUAAUUUUACUACUAUUUGUUAUCUGUUGCAUGCUUGCUACACAUUUUUGCUCCCCAAUUAUUGAAGAAGAUGAUUUUUCCUCGUUUGCAUCACCAUGCUUACAGCCGCCAACAAAUUUCAAGAAACGAUAUUUUGUACAUAACAACAUACACGUUACGUUCUUGGAAGCAUGGAGACAGUGUCAAGCCAUUGGUCUUCGCUUAGCUACCAUUACAUCUGAGGAGGAUAGUAAACUCAUGCAGGAAACCAUUGCAAAUUCAACUAACACGAAAGGUCCUUGGUAUAUCGGUGGCACCGACUUAGGGAAUGAAGGACACUUUGUUUGGAUAUCUACCAAUAAGCCUGUCGGACACAUGACAGGAUACUUCAACUAUUCACCCGGACAACCAGACAAUGCUGGAGGAAGCGAAAACUGUCUCGAGAUCGGUCGGUGGGGUGGUGUAGUCUGGAAUGAUGAGCCAUGCGAUGCAAAGCUACGCUACAUUUGUGAAUCUGUCACUCCAAACUGGUCGUAAAAAACAAUGAACAUAAUAAAUCAUUUGUUUGUUUAUUAGUUGAACCUUUCACAAACG
rnacentral:lncRNA from 1 species